GAUAAAUUAAUUAUUUUUAGUUUAUGUAGUUGAAAUUAAAUAUUUCUUUAAUUAUAAUAUUUUUAGGUGAAAUUUUAAUAUUAUUGGAAAGAUUAUGUUGAAGCUAUUAAAUUUAUUAUUAAAACAAGGAUUAGAUACCCCUUUUAUAUUAAAUGUAAAUAUUAACUAGGGUAGUAAUAGUUAUGUUCUUGAAACCCAAAGAAUUUGGCGGUAUUUUAUUCUUUUUAGAGGAACCUGUCCUUUAAUUGAUAGUUCACGAUAGAGAAUUACUUGUUUUUGUAUUCAGUUUGUAUACCUCCGUCAUAAGAUUAUCUUUUUAGAGUUAAUAUUCUAUUAAUAUGAAGUAAGAAAUGUCAGGUCAAGGUGCAACUUAUAAAUAAGUAGAGAUGGGUUACAAUAAAUUUAUUUAUACGGAAUUAUAUUAUUAUUAAUAUAAUGAAGGAGGAUUUAAAAGUAAAAUUUUUCUUUUUAAGUUUGAUUUAAGCUCUAAAGUAUGCACACAUCGCCCGUCACUCUUAUUUUAAAAUAAGAUAAGUCGUAACAUAGUAGAGGUACCGGAAGGUGUCUCUAGAAAGUAUCAAAUUAGAGCUAGAUAGAAAGCGUUCCACUUACACUGGAGU
rnacentral:rRNA from 1 species